GCGGUCUGUCAAGUCGGAUGUGAAAUCCCCGGGCUCAACCUGGGAACUGCAUUCGAAACUGGCAGGCUAGAGUCUUGUAGAGGGGGGUAGAAUUCCAGGUGUAGCGGUGAAAUGCGUAGAGAUCUGGAGGAAUACCGGUGGCGAAGGCGGCCCCCUGGACAAAGACUGACGCUCAGGUGCGAAAGCGUGGGGAGCAAACAGGAUUAGAUACCCUGGUAGUCCACGCCGUAAACGAUGUCGACUUGGAGGUUGUGCCCUUGAGGCGUGGCUUCCGGAGCUAACGCGUUAAGUCGACCGCCUGGGGAGUACGGCCGCAAGGUUAAAACUCAAAUGAAUUGACGGGGGCCCGCACAAGCGGUGGAGCAUGUGGUUUAAUUCGAUGCAACGCGAAGAACCUUACCUACUCUUGACAUCCAGAGAACUUUCCAGAGAUGGAUUGGUGCCUUCGGGAACUCUGAGACAGGUGCUGCAUGGCUGUCGUCAGCUCGUGUUGUGAAAUGUUGGGUUAAGUCCCGCAACGAGCGCAACCCUUAUCCUUUGUUGCCAGCGGUUAGGCCGGGAACUCAAAGGAGACUGCCAGUGAUAAACUGGAGGAAGGUGGGGGAUGACGUCAAGUCAUCAUGGCCCCUACGAGUAGGGCUACACACGUGC
rnacentral:rRNA from 1 species